rnacentral:rRNA from 1 species
AUGUCAUCCUGUUACUUGCAAUCCGGUGAAAGCAAAGCUCACCUUGGAGAGCUCAGGAGAAGGAGGAGGAGGAGGAGGAGCAGAGCUAAUAGGCGAUGGAUUCUCAGGCACCGGCCGGCGAUGACCGCCGGAGCACCGACCUCAACAAGGUACCUCGCCUCCCCUCCCGUUCAUCUUGUAAUACUCAAUCGAUAUGGUUUGUUUGGUAAGCAAAAGCUGAAUCAAUCAAACCAACUCUCUCUGUUGGCUGGCUAUGAAAAGCAAGCUACCAUUAGUGCUACGCAUAUAUGUUACAGUUUUGAACUAAGGUAG